ensembl:lncRNA
GGUGGGGUGUCGAGGCGGAGUCAGAGUGCAGGAUUGAAACAAUAGGAUGAGUCAUGAGUGAGGGGGGGUCACAGAAGACAGGGACCACCCUUCCCCCAGAGAACCCCACACUCAUCAUCACUGCGUGCAGGAAACAGAUGCGCUGCUUGGCUCUGUGUGCGUGUGUGCGCGUACCUUCCUGCCGAGAGUCAAGUUGAAACUGAGGCUUCAAUUUCGGUCUGUAAAGCUACAACCAGCUCACGCUUUCUCAAAACUGUCCCUGUUGCUGCCUUGUGGUACGUCUGUACAGCUGUGUUCGUGUGCUGGUGCCUCUCUAACCCAUCCUUUCUCACUUCCCCUUCUCCCCCCCAAGAAGCUUGUGUUUUUUGUCAGGCCGUCACGGUCAAUAAGAACUUGUUCUUAAUGAUCUGCCUGGUUGAAUAAAGAAAAAACAGGUUUUAACUCACACAUCUUCUAAGCUGGCCCCGCCCACACCUCCACAAUCCCUCAUCCCUGCGGAAGCGCCAACCAUGUGCUGCACCUGGGUAGACCAUCCCUGAAGAACAGGAGCAUGUUCCAAGGUACCACUGUUCCCGUACCACCACAUACAGGACGGAUAGGAGGCUUGGAGACCCUCUGGUGCCCUAUCACAGGACCGAUAGGAGGCUUGGAGACCCUCUGGUGCCCUAUCACAGGACGGAUAGGAGGCUGGGAGACCCUCUGGUGCCCUAUCACAGGACCGAUAGGAGGCUGGGAGACCCUCUGGUGCCCUAUCACAGGACCGAUAGGAGGCUUGGUCAACGGUUGUGAAUGUCCAACAGGGGCAGGGUUUGAGCCGCUACAUUCCAUUGAACCGUUGCAUUCCAAGGAAGGCCUCGACUGGCUGCUUGAGCAGAACCAAGGUCGACCACUGCAGCGGCGCCGUAGCACCGUGACGAUCCAGAGCUGUUGACACACGCAUGUGUUUGGAGAGAGGUGAGGUGGGGAGGUCACUCUGGAUCAUGAGUGUACGUUUAUGAGAGCUUGCCUGUGUUUUGGCUCUGUGCCUGUUUUGUGGUUUUGUGUGUGUGUCUCUAUGUGUUUGUGUGUACAAGUUGAUAUGUAGGUGUCUUGCUGCAAACCAUUGUUUGUAUGUUUGCGUAUAUAUCUGUGUGUGUGUUUGUGUGUGUGUGUGUGUGUGUGGUUGUGUCUAAGCAGGUAAUCAGUUGAUGAGUGUACUUGCUGGUUUGUAGGUGUCUGCAGGCUUCUUCCAUGCGGGCGUGUGUGUGUGGGUCAGAGUCCACACACUGACACCAUUGACGCUGAAUACAACUGGGCUGGGACAACAGCACAGUCACUGCUCUGUGAGUGCACAAUAUGGCCGUCAUGCGUGAUGCCAGUGCACGUACACUGAAGUACCAUCACCACGGCGACCAACCCAUCACGGCCGAUUGUAACGGAGUGCGGCACGGAGUGAAGUGUCCGAGGAGUGUAUCUACAGAGCGUACAAAACGUGACAGAAGUACCCAUCACCACGGUAACCGCCAGCACUCAGCCUCCACCAGACAAGAUGGCAAGGUGGUGAUCAUCUGGCACUUACACUUGUGUCUCCAUACACACACAAAAACACCCACAUACACCCCCAUAACCCCCCCCCACACACACACACACAGACACACACAGACAAAACAAGCCCAUUUUCCACCAGCAGAUCCCAGGACCAGACGGGGCUUUCCCCUGCCUCUCUGCCAGACCUUUCCGGGACAUCGCUCCCACCUAUCGGCUGCUGUUUCCUGCCCCUCUGACUCCUGAUAGGAGGCCUGGGAAAGAGAACACAAGGUCGUCAGUGAAGGCUGCUGUGUGUUCUGCGGGCUUACCCCUGGCUGACGGAUGAUGAUGGAAGGCCUUGGGAUGAGUGGGCACCUUGGAGCCAACAGGGGACCCCCAUCCCCCGGGAGGUCUUCCUCUGAGCCCCAGGAGACAGCGCUGGUCCUUGGGGUCCCAAGGGGCUCCCCUUCCCCUGUCGGUCGCCAGUGAGAGCGUUCUGACCCGCGUCGCUUCAGUGGUCUGUGAGCCGGCCGGGCCGACGUUAAGCUGUCGCUGAGGCUGUACUCCACGACCACUGGGCCACCAGCACCACCAC